GUUGGAUAUAUUGGCCACAUAAAAUAAUUUACCGACCAAAUAGGUGGUAAGAGACACGACACAUCUAUUUUAAAACAAAAAGAAACAGAAAAGGAAAAAAAAGCUUUGUCGACGAUUUCAAUCAUCCCCACCAUGCCGAUUGACGAUUCAGAAAGCAACAUCAAAACCAGUAAAAUCUUUACCGAUACCUUGAAGAUCUUCAACGAUGAUGGUAGCAGAUCGAUCGACGCUUCUUUCCCCAUCCAUGGCGAUUGACGAUUCAGAAAUCAAUUGAAGGUUCAGAAAUCAAAAUCAAAACCAGUAAAAACUGUAACGAUGGCUUGAAGAUCUUCGACGAUGACGGUAGCAAAUCGGGUUUGGAAACAAAAUCAAACCACGAAGUUUGAAACUCGUUAGAUCCAGGAAAGACUUCUCCUAUUCCUCACUCUUAAGGCUUCAGUGAGAAAAACGUUAAGUGAUAUUUGGGUUUCAAUUUGGCGAUUUCAGAAAUCUUUGGCCGAUUUGUGAUCAGAAUCGAAAGACAAUUAAACGGUAAAUAUAGUUUAAAGUUUUUAAUCAUUUGUUAAAAGUUAAUCUCAGAGUUUUAUUCACCAAAUAUAUUCAUGUAACAUUUGUUCUGGUUUUUGUUUCCGGUGAGAUUGGAAUGGUUUCCAAGAAUCCGACGAAGAAUCCGACGAAGUUCUGAAGCGGAACAUGUCAUUCUUCACUGGUAAAUAACAUAAUCUUAAAGUCUGUGAUACACCAAAUAUAUUCAUGUAACAUUUGUUCUGGUUUUUGUUUCCGGUGAGAUUGGAAUGGUUUCUAAGAAUCCGACGAAGAAUCCGACGAAGUUCUGAAGCGGAACAUGUCAUUCUUCACUGUUAAAAGUUUAAAGACACAUGUUUGUGCAGCUGAAGGACCAUGGGACAAAUACAUAACGCCAAAGCAAUACGAACCAAUAAGUGGCAUCGUAUAGUUUUCGCGUUUUGGCAGUGGAUCUGGUUCUUGGCCACUCGGAUUUUCAGAUUGGUGACUCUAUGCAUGUAAAAGCUUCGUUUUGGGAUGAGAUCCCGACUGUGUCGGCGACACUCUCUAGCGAAGGAAGCCAAAGUGGUGAAGAUGGCGAUUUCGGUGACUUUUUCGGAUGAGAUCUCGGGACUUUUCCGAUGACGCUCUCCGUUUGGAAAGAGCGCUGGGUUCGAUGAUAGGUGUGGUAGGUUUGGACGUCUCCUGGUGAAAUGGCGGUGGUUGUCUCCGAGGUGGACUCGUAGUGAUGAACCUGUGUUUUUGGUUUUCUAUGUAAAACACAUAACUCAUCCAUGUAUUUUGUAUUUGACUUAUGCUAUGUUUACACAACUCAAAUGUGUCGUUUAUAAAUCUCAGUCGUGUCGUUUAUAUAUCUCAGCCGUGU